AAAUUCUCGAUCUCAGUUACCUCCGCCUCAGCUUGAAAACGCGCUGAACAAGACCGGAGCGCUGAGAGCUCCACUAGUUUGCUCAUGCUAGCCAACCGAAUAUUAAAUCUACACUACCAAGGUACGAGAAUCGAUGUAGUUCCCUAAUUGAAUGGACCGAGAACGAUCUCCUCUGGUUCGAUGCUGUGUCUGACAUCCUGUAUAUCUCUCUGUGCGUGUAGGUCUAUAUUGGUUGUCCUAGGAAUAGCUGAACCCCAGAGCACGACUCAAUCGCAACCUACUCAACCCCAGAGCACGACUCAAUCGCAACCUAGUCAGGAGCAAACUGCUGAAACCAGCAACACGGAGAAGGAUGUGCCGGUGGAGAAACCUAGUGAGCUUUCUUCAGAUGCCAGCUGACCGUCUCCGAAAAGUGAAAAAUCUGGCGAUUUUGAAUAAUUGCAUAUAAAGAAGGCAGGAAAUCAGCAACUUCAAACUACCUUUCACGAUUGGAGUCAAACGAUUAGUUUCAUAAGAGAUUUGAACAGUUGGCCUCCAACGGUUAGUUUCGGA
rnacentral:lncRNA from 1 species